UACGUAGGUGGCGAGCGUUGUCCGGAUUUACUGGGCGUAAAGGGCGUGCAGGCGGUUUGUUAAGUGCAGGGUGAAAGCUCCCGGCUCAACUGGGAGAGGUCCUUGCAUACUGGCGAACUCGAGGGAGGCAGAGGAAAGUGGAAUUCCCGGUGUAGUGGUGAUAUGCGUAGAUAUCGGGAGGAACACCAGUGGCGAAGGCGAUCUUCUGGACCAUUCUGACGCUCAGACGCGACAGCUAGGGUAGCAAACGGG
rnacentral:rRNA from 1 species